UCAGUAUAGGAGGUCAGCCUGCCCGGUGACCACAAGUUCAACGGCCGCGGUAUUUUGACCGUGCAAAGGUAGCGCAAUCACUUGUCUUUUAAAUAGAGACCCGUAUGAAUGGCUAAACGAGGGCUUAACUGUCUCCCUUUUCAAGUCAGUGAAAUUGAUCUACCCGUGCAGAAGCGGGUAUAACAAUACAAGACGAGAAGACCCUUUGGAGCUUAAGGUACAAAACUCAACCACGUCAAGCAACUUAAUAAAAAGCAAAAACUUUGUGAAACAUGAGAUUUUACCUUCGGUUGGGGCGACCGCGGAGGAAAACAAAGCCUCCAAGUGGACCGGGAUAAACUCCUAAAACUAAGAGAAACAUCUCUAAGCCACAGAACAUCUGACCAAACAUGAUCCGGCCACCAGGACCGAUCAACGAACCAAGUUACCCUAGGGAUAACAGCGCAAUCCCCUCCCAGAGUCCAUAUCGACGAGGGGGCUUACGACCUCGAUGUUGGAUCAGGACAUCCUAAUGGUGCAGCCGCUAUUAAGGGUUCGUUUGUUCAACGAUUAAAGUCCUACGUGAUCUGAGUUCAGACCGG
rnacentral:rRNA from 2 species